UCCUCCGCCAGCCCCUAAAGAGGAGACCCCUCCUCCGCCACCUAAAGUGGUGACUACUCCUCCGCCAGCCCCUAAAAAAGUGACCUCUCCGGCACCACCGAUAGGCGUUUCUUCCCCACCCCUCAAAGAGGCUUCUCCUACCCUUGUUGUAGAUGGGUCCGUCACACUGGUUGCGGUGGUUUCAUCUUCCCCUCAGCCUCCUACAGAGGUCUCUACUAAGCUCACGCCACCACAAAGUAUUCCACCUCCUCCACCCUUCCCGUCACAAUCCAAGUCGGAACAGGAGAUUGAUCCUCCACAAGGGAGCAUCCCUUCCCAAUCUGAAACAAGUCCAGUUUCAUCUUACAGUAUUCUCACUCCCCCUCAGAGUAUCCCCCCUCCACCUCCUAUACAACUUCUCCAUCAACCUCAGGUGGGGCCACAGAACACAGAUGGUCCAGCUACCCAGGAGCCCCCCCCCUUUGGCACUAUCUGAAGUCUUGAUCCGACCAGCUCUAGAAAACUGUCCAGAAAAGUCUCAAGAACCUGCUCUUUCUCCUCCUGUAAACAUUCCUUCACCUGGUCUUGCCAGCAUUAAGGACCGGUCUAGUCCUGCAAUCACAGAAAACCAACCCCCAGAACUGGCCUCUGACGCCCAGAAGCCACCAGAGGUCACGUUAAGGAAGCAGCAGCCCAGCAAUCCAGUCCCAACCUCAUCUGCCAGUGGUGAGGCUCCCCAGAAGCCAAUCAGGAGGUCUCUGAUUAUUAUCAAUGCCCCAUCUCCACCGCCCGCAUCUUCACCACCCAGCUCGCCACCACCCACUGUCACCGCACAACCAGCUCUGCCAAAUUCCCAGUCUCUUUUGGUUCUACCUGCAGUCGUUUCCCCAACAAAAAAGUCUGCCACGACCGGCUCCCCUUCCAUGAACCUACAGGAGGCCAUCCGCCUGAGGACCGCGGCCCGAUCAAAAGCCGUCCCUUCAUCUCGCCUCAGCUUGAACUCUCCAACAUCUCCAGGAGACCUCCGUAAGUCCCCCUCCUGCACAGCAAGCUUUAUCUUCUCCAAGAGCAACAAGAAGGUACCGAUUGAGACCAAGCCAGCGCUGGAGGCAAUGGGAACCGUAGAGAAGAAGCUGGAGGAGUCCUCUGUAACAAAGGGAGACAAGAUGCCACCACCUGUUGCAAAGAAACCCAAACCGAAGGGUAACGGGACUGAGGCCAAUGAAGGGACGGAGCAAACUGCAGGACAGGGCGCGCUGCAAGAGAGUAUCACAAAUGCUGCGGAGACAAAUGGGACAGCAGGUACUGUUGAAGGGGGGACGCCAUCGACAUGA
ensembl:lncRNA